rnacentral:miRNA from 1 species
UGAGGCAGGAGAAUUGCUUGAACCCAGGAGGUGGAGGCUGCAGUGAGCCGAGAUCGAGCCACUACACUCCAGCCUGGCGACAGAGUGAGACUCCAUCUC